rnacentral:rRNA from 1 species
UACGUAGGGUGCAAGCGUUGUCCGGAUUUAUUGGGCGUAAAGAGCUCGUAGGCGGUUUGGCAAGUCGGGUGUGAAACCUCCAGGCUCAACCUGGAGACGCCACCCGAGACUGCUAUGACUUGAGUCUGGUAGGGGAUCACGGAAUUCCUGGUGUAGCGGUGAAAUGCGUAGAUAUCAGGAGGAACACCCGAGGCGAAGGCGGCUCUCUGGGUCGUACCUGACGCUGAGGCGCGAAAGCGUGGGGAGCGAACGGG